CCUACGGGAGGCUGCAGUGGGGAAUAUUGGACAAUGGGGGGAACCCUGAUCCAGCCAUGCCGCGUGUGUGAAGAAGGCCCUCGGGUUGUAAAGCACUUUCAGUGAGGAAGAACGCCUGGUGGUUAAUACCCAUCAGGAAAGACAUCACUCACAGAAGAAGCACCGGCUAACUCCGUGCCAGCAGCCGCGGUAAUACGGAGGGUGCGAGCGUUAAUCGGAAUUACUGAGCGUAAAGCGCGCGUAGGUGGCUUGAUAAGCCGGUUGUGAAAGCCCCGGGCUCAACCUGGGAACGGCAUCCGGAACUGUCAAGCUAGAGUGCAGGAGAGGAAGGUAGAAUUCCCGGUGUAGCGGUGAAAUGCGUAGAGAUCGGGAGGAAUACCAGUGGCGAAGGCGGCCUUCUGGACUGACACUGACACUGAGGUGCGAAAGCGUGGGUAGCAAACAGGAUUAGAUACCCCGGUAGUC
rnacentral:rRNA from 1 species